rnacentral:rRNA from 1 species
UACGUAGGGUGCAAGCGUUAAUCGGAAUUACUGGGCGUAAAGCGUGCGCAGGCGGUUUUGUAAGACAGGUGUGAAAUCCCCGGGCUUAACCUGGGAACUGCAUUUGUGACUGCAAGGCUGGAGUGCGGCAGAGGGGGAUGGAAUUCCGCGUGUAGCAGUGAAAUGCGUAGAUAUGCGGAGGAACACCGAUGGCGAAGGCAAUCCCCUGGGCCUGCACUGACGCUCAUGCACGAAAGUGUGGGGAUCAAACAGG